rnacentral:rRNA from 1 species
UACGGAGGGUGCGAGCGUUGCUCGGAAUCACUGGGCGUAAAGCGCGUGUAGGCGGCCUUCUAAGUUCGGUGUGAAAGCCCGGGGCUCACCCCCGGAAGUGCACCGGAUACUGGAAGGCUAGAGUACCGGAGAGGAAGGUGGAAUUCCUGGUGUAGCGGUGAAAUGCGUAGAUAUCAGGAGGAACACCGGUGGCGAAGGCGGCCUUCUGGACGGAUACUGACGCUGAGACGCGAAAGCGUGGGGAGCAAACAGG